CUACCCAAAGUCGCAGAUGGUUCCCACGGCCCCAAAGCGGUCACGGGAUGAAAAGGGAACGUGGUGUGGUGUAGCCAAAAGGCGCCAAAUCCGCGACUGCCCCCGCAACUGUGAGCGGUGAGCGACCUCGAUAGACCACUGGCCCCUUGGGCCGGGAAGGCCGAGGCCCGCAGCAACCCGCAAGUCAGGAGACCUGCCAUCCACAGGAAACCUAU
rnacentral:ncRNA from 2 species